GAGGCAGCAGUAGGGAAUUUUCCGCAAUGGGCGAAAGCCUGACGGAGCAAUACCGCGUGAGGGAUGACGGCCUGUGGGUUGUAAACCGCUGUCAGUGGGGAGGAAAUGCACGGGGGUUCUCCCUCGUGUUUGACCGAUCCGCAGAGGAAGCACAGGCUAAGUUCGUGCCAGCAGCCGCGGUAACACGAACUGUGCAAACGUUAUUCGGAAUCACUGGGCUUAAAGAGUUCGUAGGCGGCGCGUCAAGUCGGGUGUGAAAUCCCUCGGCUCAACCGAGGAAUUGCGUCCGAAACUGGCGUGCUUGAGUGAGAUAGAGGUGAGCGGAACUGAUGGUGGAGCGGUGAAAUGCGUUGAUAUCAUCAGGAACACCGGUGGCGAAAGCGGCUCACUGGGUCUCAACUGACGCUGAGGAACGAAAGCUAGGGGAGCGAACGGAAUUAGAUACCCCGGUAGUCCUAGCCGUAAACGAUGAGCACUAGGUUGAGGGGACCUCCCCAUCCCCCCGGCCGUAGCGAAAGUGUUAAGUG
rnacentral:rRNA from 1 species